CCUACGUGUGGCAGCAGUGAGGAAUAUUGGUCAAUGGCCGGAAGGCUGAACCAGCCAUGCCGCGUGAAGGUCAGUGCCCUAUGGGCGUUAAACUUCUUUUGUGCGGGAGCAAUAAUGGUCACGUGUUGCCAGACGAGAGUACCGUCAGAAUAAGCAUCGGCUAACCCCGUGCCAGCAGCAGCGGUAAUACGGGGGAUGCAAGCGUUAUCCGGAAUUAUUGGGUUUAAAGGGUUCGUAGGCUGUGAGGUAAGUCAGCGGUGAAAUGCCCCCGCUCAACGGGGUGAAGUGCCUUUGAUACUGCCUGGCUCGAGUGCGGAUGCCGUGGGAGGAAUG
rnacentral:rRNA from 1 species